GUUGCAUAGCUGGGCAACAUUAAUUUUUCUUCUCCAAGAAAAAUCAGCCUACGAAUCUGAACGAAAUCUGGAUCAUGAUCAACUCUUUGAUUUUUUCCUUGAUCUUCUUCUUCUCUUAUUUUUCUUUCCUUGAUUAUGCUGCUAUCAUAGACUAAAAACUAGCACACAAGAGGAUGCCCAACAGCCUUUGGACAUGGAGGAAGAAGGGAUGCCCAACACUUGGGCGUUGAUGCUCCAAGGGAGA
rnacentral:lncRNA from 1 species